CAAUAGCGUAUAUUAAAGUUGUUGCAGUUAAAAAGCUCGUAGUUGGAUUUCUGGUAGGAGUGACCGUUCCGAACUUGAUUGUUCGUGUAUUGUGUUUUCUCCAGCCAUCCUUGUGGAGAACUUUUCUUGCAUUAAUUUGUAGGGAUUGGGACCCGCAUCGUUUACUGUGAAAAAACUAGAGUGUUUAAAGCAGGCAAUCGCUUGAAUACAUUAGCAUGGAAUAAUAAGAUAGGACUUUGGUACUAUUUUGUUGGUUUGCAUACCAAAUUAAUGAUCAACAGGAACAGUUUGAGGAUAUUCGUAUGAACAUGUCAGAGGUGAAAUUCUUGGAUUUUGAUCAGACGAACUACUGCGAAAGCAUUUAUCAAGGAUGUUUUCAUUAA
rnacentral:rRNA from 1 species